rnacentral:rRNA from 1 species
ACACGACUACAUUAGAUACCCCUGUAGUCCUAGCCGUAAACGNUACUCGCUAGGUGUCGGCCACGGUGCGACCGUUGUCGGUGCCGUAGGGAAGCCGUGAAGCGAGCCACCUGGGAAGUACGGCCGCAAGGCUGAAACUUAAAGGAAUUGGCGGGGGAGCACCACAACGGGUGGAGCUUGCGGUUUAAUUGGAUUCAACGCCGGAAAUCUUACCGGGACCGACAGCAACAUGAAGGCCAGGCUGAAGACUUUGCCGGAUUAGCUG